rnacentral:rRNA from 1 species
AUGACAAAACCCAAGAGAGCCGGGGGUAUUGGAUUCAGAGACAUGCAUUUGUUCAACCAAGCACUUUUGGCCAAACAAGCAUGGAGGCUCCUACAAAACCCGGAUAGCCUUUGUGCGAGAGUCAUGAAGUCUAAGUACUACCCAAAUGGGAGUUUGUUGGAUAUGGUGUUUGCAAGCGACGCCUCUCCGGUUUGGAGAGCCAUUGAAUUCGGCUUG